GACAGAGGAGCCAAGCGUUGUCCGGAUUGACUGGGCGUAAAGCGUGCGCAGGCGGUCCGUUAAGACAGAUGUGAAAUCCCCGGGCUUAACCUGGGAACUGCGAUGAAGACUGCAAGGCUUUGAAUCUGGCAGAGGGGGGGUAGAAUUCCACGUGUAAGCAGUGAAAUGCGUAGAGAUGUGGAGGAACACCGAUGGCGAAGGCAGCCCCCUGGGUCAAGAUUGACGCUCAUGCACGAAAGCGUGGGGAGCAAACAGG
rnacentral:rRNA from 1 species